rnacentral:lncRNA from 1 species
GCAUUUCCUCUUGCCUUCGUUGCCACCCUCUAGCUGUCACCGCGACUACGUCAGCGUGGCCGCUUGCCGCGGGCUUACCGCCGUCGCGAGGAGGUUCUCCAUGGACAGUGGGUGGGCAAGGGUCGCCCACUCGCUCGUUAAAGACGUGGCGGGGCGGGCGAGCGGCGGUUGCAGGCGCCGGCUGUAGAACUGGCAAGCGAGGGAACGGCCGCGGCGCCAAGCACGCAGGAC